rnacentral:rRNA from 1 species
GACGAACGCUUGCGGCGUGCUUAACACAUGCAAGUCGAACGGAAAGGCCCUGCUUUUGUGGGGUGCUCGAGUGGCGAACGGGUGAGUAACACGUGAGUAACCUGCCCUUGACUUUGGGAUAACUUCAGGAAACUGGGGCUAAUACCGGAUAGGAGCUCCUGCUGCAUGGUGGGGGUUGGAAAGUUUCGGCGGUUGGGGAUGGACUCGCGGCUUAUCAGCUUGUUGGUGGGGUAGUGGCUUACCAAGGCUUUGACGGGUAGCCGGCCUGAGAGGGUGACCGGCCACAUUGGGACUGAGAUACGGCCCAGACUCCUACGGGAGGCAGCAGUGGGGAAUAUUGCACAAUGGGCGGAAGCCUGAUGCAGCAACGCCGCGUGCGGGAUGACGGCCUUCGGGUUGUAAACCGCUUUCGCCUGUGACGAAGCGUGAGUGACGGUAAUGGGUAAAGAAGCACCGGCUAACUACGUGCCAGCAGCCGCGGUGAUACGUAGGGUGCGAGCGUUGUCCGGAUUUAUUGGGCGUAAAGGGCUCGUAGGUGGUUGAUCGCGUCGGAAGUGUAAUCUUGGGGCUUAACCCUGAGCGUGCUUUCGAUACGGGUUGACUUGAGGAAGGUAGGGGAGAAUGGAAUUCCUGGUGGAGCGGUGGAAUGCGCAGAUAUCAGGAGGAACACCAGUGGCGAAGGCGGUUCUCUGGGCCUUUCCUGACGCUGAGGAGCGAAAGCGUGGGGAGCGAACAGGCUUAGAUACCCUGGUAGUCCACGCUGUAAACGGUGGGUACUAGGUGUGGGGUCCAUUCCACGGGUUCCGUGCCGUAGCUAACGCUUUAAGUACCCCGCCUGGGGAGUACGGCCGCAAGGCUAAAACUCAAAGGAAUUGACGGGGCCCCGCACAAGCGGCGGAGCAUGCGGAUUAAUUCGAUGCAACGCGUAGAACCUUACCUGGGUUUGACAUGGAUCGGGAGUGCUCAGAGAUGGGUGUGCCUCUUUUGGGGUCGGUUCACAGGUGGUGCAUGGCUGUCGUCAGCUCGUGUCGUGAGAUGUUGGGUUAAGUCCCGCAACGAGCGCAACCCUUGUUCACUGUUGCCAGCACGUUAUGGUGGGGACUCAGUGGAGACCGCCGGGGUCAACUCGGAGGAAGGUGGGGAUGACGUCAAGUCAUCAUGCCCCUUAUGUCCAGGGCUUCACGCAUGCUACAAUGGCUGGUACAGAGAGUGGCGAGCCUGUGAGGGUGAGCGAAUCUCGGAAAGCCGGUCUCAGUUCGGAUUGGGGUCUGCAACUCGACCUCAUGAAGUCGGAGUCGCUAGUAAUCGAAAAGCAGCAACGCUGCGGUGAAUACGUUCCCGGG